rnacentral:rRNA from 1 species
UGCAUAUCAAAUAGCGGAGGAAAAGAAACCAACAGGGAUUGCCUCAGUAACGGCGAGUGAAGCGGCAAAAGCUCAAAUUUGAAAUCUGGUACCUUUGGUGCCCGAGUUGUAAUUUGAAGAUAGUUUUCUGGUGCUGGCCCUUGUCUAUGUUCCUUGGAACAGGACGUCACAGAGGGUGAGAAUCCCGUCUGGCGGGGUGUCCAGUGCUUUGUAGAUUUCUAUCGACGAGUCGAGUUGUUUGGGAAUGCAGCUCUAAGUGGGUGGUAAAUUCCAUCUAAAGCUAAAUAUUGGCGAGAGACCGAUAGCGAACAAGUACAGUGAUGGAAAGAUGAAAAGAACUUUGAAAAGAGAGUGAAAAAGUACGUGAAAUUGUUGAAAGGGAAGGGUAUUAGAUCAGACUUGGUGUUUUGUGAUUAUCUUCCCUUCUUGGGUUGUGCACUCGCAUUUCACUGGGCCAGCAUCGGUUCGGGUGGUAAGAUAAUGACAUUGGAACGUGGCACUGCCUUCGGGUGGUGUGUUAUAGCCCUUGUUGAUGUUGCCUACCUGGACCGAGGACUGCGGCUUUUGCCUAGGAUGCUGGCGUAAUGAUCUAACACCGCCCGUCUUGA